UGACUACUCGGACAUCCAAUGUUGUAAUGUUUCUGCUGCAUGUACAGAAAGAUCACUGCAGCCCUAGCCAUGCAACAGCAGCAGAGGGCAGUGAGGGCCCCGCAAGGCUUGCUCCGCAGCCCCCGGCUCCCUCUUUGGUUGGCACUGGAAGAGGAAUGAGGAUGAAACCAUCUCUGCAAUUCUUCAACACAAGCUGGGGCAGCAAGCUCAAGAGGAGAUUCUCUUGGCAAUGAGAAUAGCCAAGCACCCGAGUGACUAAUUAGAGAGGCACAAGGCUGAAGAGAGGCGGGGUUUAUACAGGGGCACCCGUGGGACCCUCCUGAUGGAAACCUCAAGGCCACAAUGUAAUUUGUCUUGCAGGAGUCUUGCAGAUUCAGGCAGUUGGGCCUCUCUCGUUCUUCAUAGGAACACACAGGGACGAUAGUCUGCCGCCGCCGCUCAGU